rnacentral:tRNA from 1 species
GGUUAGUGGGUCAGUGGUAGAGUGCCCACCUAGCAUGCAUGAGGCACUGGGUUCAAUCCUCAGCACCA